rnacentral:tRNA from 1 species
GCCUCGCUGGUGCAGCCCGGCAAGCAUAGUUGGCUCUCGCCCAACAGACAAGGGUUCGAAUCCCUUGCGAGGCA